rnacentral:rRNA from 1 species
UUAUGAUCUUUAAAUUCAAAGAAUUUGGCGGUAGUUAAGUCUUUUUAGAGGAACCUGUCCUGUAAUCGAUAAUCCACGAUUGAUUUUACUUUAUUUAUACUUGUAUACCGCUGUCAAUGAAUGUAUUAUAAGGUAAUCUUCGUUAAUCUUAAUUUUAAAGAUUUAUGUUAGGUCAAGGUGCAGUAAUAAUAAAGUAGAGAUGGGUUACAAUUAAUUUUAUUUGGAUUUUUAUUUGAAAUUAAUAAAAUAAAAUUGGAUUUAAAGGUAAUUUUGAAUAGAAAAUUUAAUUUGAUUUUAGCUCUUAAUUAU